CCCUUUUCUUUACCCAGUCUUCUCUGCUCAGUCUUUUGCUCCUCUCAGUUUUCCUCAUCUUCUCUCCUCUCUUUUCACGUUCUUUAUCUCCUCUUCUCUCCUCUCAAUUUUUUUUUGUGAAAUUCGAACAGAUUUGUAGGUGGUUUGGCGAAAUUUUUUUUUGGUUUGCAGCAAGAUGACGAGACUUCUUUAAUGGAAGCAAGAGGGUUUUAAUUCUCCUCCCUUUUUCAUGAUCUGGGUUUUAAUUUCACUAUAAUUGAUGUUGAUUUUUUGUAGUUGUUUUCUCAUUCAUACAGUAUUUCUUAUUUUUUCUUAUUUUCUUCACCCGUCUAUUAUAACGUCAGUGAGCUCUCUUUAAUACCCAUUUUCCAAUUUCGUUUAUUUCUUUUUUCUGAAAUCGCAAUUCAUAUUAGAUUAAACGAUCUUUUUAUCACAAAUUUUCCUUCCAUUUUUAUCAAGUUUUAGUAUAGUCGAAUUUUAAUUAAACCCUAAUCAUAUUCAUAUGUAGGAAAAAGAAGAAUUUCUUGAAAAACCCAGUUGUUUAUUUUACAAUUUUUGUUGAUUCAAGCAUGAUGAUGAACUGGGUAUUCCUUUUUUUUUGACAAUUUUUAUUUUUAACAGAAAUUAAAAGUGAAUGGAAUUAAAAUAGAACAUUACAAAAACAACAAAAAAAAAAACUUAGUAUUAAUUUCCAGCGUUCUUGGUCGAAUUGUCGCUCAUGGAUUUUUUAGGUUUUUGGGCCAACUCAACGAUUCCAAGCCUGGGAUGUACAGUCGAGCAAUCUUUAAGGGAAUUUGAAAGACAGGAAAAACCUCUUUUUCUACAAUUGAAAGAGGUUUGAUUCCUUCCACUGUGAUCAGAGAGGGAUUAUCUUGAAAUUUCUUCAGAUUCUUACAAUUUGAAGAUUUUAAGGUUUAGAUUUUUUUUGGUGGGAGAUCUAUUAUUAGCGCCUAUUGAUCAUUACUCAGCGGCUCAUGCUGGCCCUUGAAAGUCGAGGUGCAUGCGGUGGGAUUAAAUCAUGGGUAAGGGUAAUACGAGGCUUUCAUGUAGCAAUGGGAUGCGGCUCAAGGAUAUUCCUAUAGCUAAUUCAAAAGAUGAAUGCUGAUGCAAAGAAUGGAAUUUCAGGGCAAAAGAGGAGAUUGAGAAGAAGAAGAUGGAGCUUUGUCAGCGAGUUCAAGCUCAACUCGGUCGAGUCAAGGAGGAGACUAUAAAUCAUAAUAGAUAGUGAUGUUGGAGGAAAAUCUAAACAUGAUAUUUUGAGGUCUAGAGGUUCUGAAGUUUCCUAUGGUUGUAGCAGUGGCAGCAGUAAAUUCAUGAUGUGAAGUACUUUCCUCCUGUUUCUCUGUUUUCUUUCUGAAAUAUCCGGAAGGAGGAAGAUGGAGCAAGGUUUGCUCGUUUCGAGUUUGAGGUGGAUAAACUCAGGUAUUAUUUGAUGUUCGACCUGUUUUUUGUGCAUAACACUCCGUGGAAAGAUAGAUAUUUAGAGUGCUUGGUUUUUUGCGCCUUGUUGGAGAGUACAAAAGAUACAAUGUUGCUGUUGUGUGAAAAUUGACCCAGCAGACCAGUGCUGUUGUUUCUUGAACCAAUUGACAACUCCUUAGAACAGGGAGAGUGCGUGUUAAUACUGAUGCUGCAAUUUUAAGGGGUAUGGGUAAAGGAUUAGGGGCUACCAUCGGAGGAGCUAAAGGUGAAUUAAUUGUUGUUGCUGUGUGUCGUGUGAAACAUGAGGGGCUUGUGGCGAUGGCUGAGGCUGUUGCUCCAGGAAUGGGAGUACUUUUGGCUCGCCAACUUGGUUUCGAGAACAUUGAACUAGAAUGCGAUGCGUUAGAGGUAGUAAAAGCCAUAUGCUCAGGAAUGAAGUGGAGAGCUUUGUAUGAUCUGAUUAUUGAGGAUAUGUGUCUACUUGAGUCUUCUUUUACUUCUGUCAUCAUGUCUAAAGGUGUGGUAAUGAUGUUGCACACCUAGCUAUUAGAAUAGUUCCUUUGGUGGGGUUAAGCAAAUUUUUUAUUCUAAUUUCCCACAAGGCAUUUUGGCUCUUUUAAAUCUGGUUGUAACUUAACAUUUGUUUUAAUAUAUUUACCCACCUCCUUCAAAAAAAAAGAAGUGAGAUUCAAAUUUGGGUUUUUCUUGAAAAGAGUGCUUGAUAUUCUUUUAUUUUUUGGACGGGAAUAUGAUGAUAUAUUCUUAUUGAUGUACAAACUACACGAAAAUUUUGGUACUCUUAUAAUAAGAGUGGGCUAGAAAUUGGUUUAUUAUUGCA